rnacentral:lncRNA from 1 species
GUCUCUACUAUAAUAGUACAUACACAAUUCCACUUCAAUAUAGUCUAAUAAGGUAUCAAGCUAAACUUUCACCUUAUAAUACAUGAUACAUCAACAAUACAACAUCAAAAGUUCAGUAGAUUAGUACAAUUUAAUACUUUAAUAGAAGUUAGGUCUAAGGCUUUAAUGGAUUUCAGGCAUGGGUGGUUAUGGGUGAAAUCCAAUACACCCACCCCUCAUUAAUUUAGUUGUCAGGUAAGCUGUUCCCUCAAAAUGGUUUCUAAAAUCCGAAAAACAUCAUCUAAAGUCAUGUUACGAAGAGUGCUAUUUUAUCUAGCUAUCUCCGAGCAUAGGUGUUAUGGUGAAAAUCUAAGUUCUAAGCAUUUGUUAGC